UUGAUGGUUGUGAGCCACCAUGUGCUUGCUGGGAAUUGAACUCAGGACCUCUGGAAAAACGGCAGAAAAGAACAAGAGAGAGUGGAAUGUGCUUUGCAAGUACACUGGAGAAGAGAGGAAACCUAAGAUCAGGAUGGAGCUAGCAAAGGCAAAGGAGAACAGAUAGUGAAUGAGUUUUCCAGGAGAGAAGAAAGAGCAAACAAAAGGAGCUGGCAGAGAUCUCUGAGGCCACCCACACAAAAUCCCUCUAUGGCUCUGAAAAGAAAAACAGCAGCCCUAAUUGUCUUCGGCAGUGAGUUCCUGAAUCUUUUGGAGGGCAGUGCUGAAGGGUUCAGGAUGGAGUCAGUUUCUUCAUGCUUGGCUCUCCUCGGAUGCCCGGCUCAGCCAGCUCCAGUUUCAUUU